GGGGCGGGCUUCCUUCUUCGGGCGCUGCUGGGAGCUGAAGAGGAAGGUGGCGACGCGGAUCCUUUGCUGCAUCACGGGCGGAAGAAAUGGGAUCGCCGGUGAUUGCGGAAGAGGGGGUUGGGAUUUCGAAUCCGGCUCGGACGCGAUGCUGGGAGCUGAAACGGAAGGUGGGGACACGGGCUUCCUUCUUCGGUUGCUGGGAAGGAGGAGGACAUGGAUGAUGAUCUGGGAAGGAUGCGGAAUCACGGGAGAGCUGGGAUCUUCCGUGAUU
rnacentral:lncRNA from 1 species